GUGCUGGGAUUAUAGGCAUGAACCACCGCACCUGGCCAGCCCUUCUCUUUUAACCACCAGGAGAAAGAACCUCUCUUCUACUGAUCUUGAACUUGAAGGCUGGUCCCUCUCUUCUGGGGGCCAUUGUGAAGAGAGGCUGCCUAAGCCUGAAGUCAACUUAAAGGAAGGUGAAACAGAGAAAAACCACACAUUCAGGCAUUUGAUGUCCUAAAGCAGAUCUACUCUGGGGAUUUUUAGAUUUGAAAACCAAAUAUUCUCCUUCCUUAGCUUAAAGCAAGUUUGAAGCUGAGAUGGACAUAAUGUAAUUGCUCUGCACAAGCCUGUAUAUUCAUUGCUUUAUGCUCAUCCUUGUUCUAAAGAUUAGCCUUUUGCCCAUUUUCUAAUUGAAUUGCUUGAUUGUGUUUUGUUUUACUAUUGAGUUUUGUGAGACAUUUAUUUAGAGUGUCUCGCUCUGUUGUCCAGGCUGGGGUGCAGUGGCAUGAUCUCAGCUCACUGCAACCUCCGCCUCCCGGGUUCAAGUGAUCCUCCCUCUUCAACCUCCUGAGUAGCUGGGAUUACGAGUGUACACCAUCACACCUGGCUAAUUUUUGUAUUUUUAGUAGAAAUGGGGUUUCACCAUGUUGGCCAGGCUGGUCUCAAACUCCUGACCUCCUCAAGUUGAUCAGCCCACCCCGGCCUCCCGAAGUGUUGGGAUUACAGGCGUGAGCCACUGCACCAGCCAACACUGAGUCGUAUUUCUUUAGAUUUUUGUGAUUGAUGUUCCCAUUAUGCUUCUCUCUCACUGAAUCUCCUACCUUCUUCAUCAGAGGCAGCGUCAUACUGGACUUUAAGUGCAUCCUUCCUGUCCAUGAUUUUAAAUUGUACCUUGCAAAUAUACUUUGCACCUAAACACUGUUUAGUAUUCUUUUGCGUUUUUUCAAAUAUCCAUAAAUACCUAUAGUACAAGUCAUUCUGCAACUAGCUACUUUCUACCCCAAAUCAUCCCUUUGCUAUCUGGCCUCCAUCACUAAACCUUACAUAUCUCAUUGAUUUAUUUUGUCUGCUCUAGCAGUCCAUCAUAUUAAUAAGACGAGUUUUAUUUUUUCCAUUCUACUAUUGAUAGACAUUUAAAUCACUUCCCAUUCUUUGCCAGCAUGACAAUGCUGCUUUGAACAUCCCUGUGUGUGUCUCUUCGCGCACACGUGGAAGAGUUCUUCCACUGGUAGGCACAGCAUUUGCAUUCUCCAUUUCAGUAAAAGCUGCCAAGGUCCUCUUCAACGUGAUGGCGUAAAUCCAGCUCUUUCUGCAAGAAGGCUCACCAGCCUUCCCACCAGCUCUUCUCCCCACCCCAGCCCUGCAGCCCUGCAGCCUGACCCUAGGUAAUGAGUGGUGGGGAGUGACCCAGGCAUGCACGACCUGCCCAGAGGAAAGGGAGUUCAAAGAAGGACCCGAGACCCUCACAGGAACCUAGCAGAUUGGCACAAGUGCCAGAUGUAUCCAGGACAGACACUUUCCCCAGGACUCCAGGGGUAAAGGAGUGCCCCACCUCUCCACUCCUUGCCUUUCUUAACUGAAUUCAGAUUGUCGUGAACAUUCAAGAAAAGCAUUGUGGCUGACUUCCAAGGUUACUACUUGAGUCCAUCACUACAGCAGUUACUACUCUUACUGCUCCAGACCGUCAUUACAGCAGUUACUACUGUUACCACUUGAGACCAUCCUUACAAGACUGAAGGAAGGGAGGAACGUAGAAAUGAAAACCAAGGAAAAAAAGAAACUGCUUUAAGUAAAGGCUAGCAUGGGGAAGAAGAGAGCUCCCCGCUUCUAGUGAGCAAAGGCAGCCCCCUUAUUUAUUGGGUAACAAGAGCACGAGGAGGUGGCAACAAUUGGUCAGCUGCUUAAUUGAUCAGAGGUUCAUGUUGUUACUGACAGGCUUCUAUUAUGCCUAAUCAUAAGAAACAUUUGUUCAGCUUCCAACAAAGCUGAAGUUUAAAUGAUGCAAUUACAUUCAGCACAGAGGAGUAUCUCCCCCAAUCCCACCAUAUAAAGAGAAAGCACAUGCAUGCAGGAGAGAAACAGUGAAUGGAAGGCUAGGAAAUCUUGGUCUUGGAGGAGAGUGCAGAUUGGAGAUAGAGGGAAGGGGAAAAUAAGAUGCUGGGAUCUUGAGGGAGGAUGUGGGGUGGUGGCCAAGCUCCCUGGUUCAUGGGGAUGAGAAUGAAGCCUCUGUUGGCUCUGGGUCAUGUGACAUGGGCCAAGAUAAGACAUGGUUCCUGCAGAGAGAUGGAGCGUGGUCUGUCUGUCUUGUGCUCAUGUGUCUGUGUCAAAUGGCUUCCGAGGGAACUAGAGCCACUUAGGUCUAUGUGGUUUAAGGAAAGCACAAGUGAAAAGAAGCCAGGAAUAGUGCAGAGGUAGGGGAUGGGACACCAAGACAUGAGGCCAGAGUGUGAGACAGAAUCAGAGCUCCUGCCUGCAGAGAAUGAUGGGCUGUGUGAGGAGCCCUGGCCCUCUGCGGACAUUUUAAUAAGUGGCCCCACUUUCUUAGGUGCUCAUGUGUCCGGGGAUUCUAGGGAGGUUUUGUGAGGCUGAGCUAAAAAAAAUAACCAAUUCCAGCUAGGCACAGGGGCUCACGCCUGUAAUCCCAGCCCUUUGGGAGGCUGGGGUGUGAGGAUUGCUUAAGGCCAGGAGGUCAAGGCUACAGUGAGCCAUGAUUGUGCCGCUGCACUCCAGCCUGAGCAAGAGGGUGAGACCCUGUCUCAAGAAACAAGCAAACAAAAAUAACCUAUUCCACUUUGACCCUGAAUAGGGAAAACUGACCAAACAAGGAGAGUAGCCAGAGGCAGGGAUGGAAGCAUAGGAGAAACUGGCAGUGGACAAGCUCCUUUGGAAUAAUCCACCAAGAGAGGAAAUGAAACAGAAUGCCUGAAUGAAUUAUGAAAGCAGAACAAAGUCUGAAAGAAUAAUCAGGGCUUGAGAUCUAGAAAGGAUCAAUGAGAUUUGUGGGAACAGACUUUCAGGGGAAACACAGAGGGCUAAGCGGCCUGAGAAACAGCUCAACUCUUGACCUUCCUCUUCCUGACACAUAGCAAGCUCAAGUGUAAAAGUUCUUGGUUCCUGGGGGAUCCCGAAAUGGCAGAGGUGGCUGUAUCUAUGCACCUUAUUCAACAAGUUGGUAAAAGUCCACUUAAGGCUGAUCACCAAGAGCUGCCUGCUUAGAAACAGGAGGAAGCUAGAUACCUAAAAUACUCCCAGCACGUCCUGGGAGAUGACACCCUAAGCUCUCACCUGGGAAAGGAAAAGGAUGAGAGACCCAGGUGACUGCAGGUUCACCUUGCUGGGGAACAAGGUUUUCUCACCUUCAUUUCCAGUGCGGGAGGGAAACCAGAAUAGCAAAAGAUCAAGAAAACUGAACAAAAACUAGAAGAGAAAUUGGUGGAGGGAUGACAGAGGUUGAAAUGGGAAGGCACCAAGCAGAAUCAGGUAUCCUCUACAGAGCAGAGAAUUGCCCUGAGCACAGAAUGCUAUAUCAUUUUCUCAAAGUCACAGAGCUGGGAAUUGCCAACAGUGGGACUGGGAUCCAGAUCUGCUCCCCUCAUUACUUAUUCUCCCUGGAUUUCUCUUCAGAGUGGAGCAAUGCCCUGGCAUUCAACUCGUCUGUGAUAUGACAGUCCUCACACUCUGUGUAGUGACCUACUAUGAGUGGUACCUGGGCGCUGCCUGCCUAGAAUUCAUCCCUCCUUCUUCUGGUAGCAGCAUCCCAAUUUUCCUCUAGUUAACCACUCCCCCUCUACUCUUGGUCUGUGGGAUGUGGGGAGGGGGACAGGGGGAGAAGGGGAGGUUGGCCCCAUUAUCACUGCAGGGCAUGCAACCCAGACUUGGCAAUCUCAGUCCAUCUAGAGUCAAUCUUUUCUAGACUCUUCUAGACUAAUUCAGAAAGCAGCUUUCUCUUUCCACAGGGUGGUUAGGAAGGUAGAAGGUAAUCCUGGAGCUUCCCGCCACCACGCAGGAGGAAUUUGCCUGAGAGCAAAGCCAGCAUAGAGAAGCAGAGCUGAGUCAUGGAGACAGGUGGCUGAAAGUUUCAUUUCGGCAUAUGGAUCUCACCAUUCCUGAAGCCACUUUCAACUCUUCAAUUUCAUAGCUAAUAAAUUCUCAUUUUUGCACAAUUAGCUGAAGCAAGGUUUUUUGUUACCUGGAAGCAAUGAAUGCAAAUGUUUUUUAGGUAAUUUGUUAAUAGUAAUAAAAGAUAAAGAAUAUAAUAAUAAAGAAUAGGGGCAUUUCCAGGGCCGGGCACAGUGGCUCACACCUGUAAUCCCAGUACUUUGGGAGGCCGAGGCGGGCAGAUCACUUGAGGUCAGGAGUUGGAGAACAGCCUGGCAAAACCCCG
rnacentral:lncRNA from 1 species